rnacentral:rRNA from 1 species
GACGAACCGUACGAACGUUAUUCGGAAUCACUGGGCUUAAAGGGCGCGUAGGCGGCUCGCUAAGUCGGAUGUGAAAACUCUGGGCUCAACCCAGAGCCUGCAUUCGAAACUGACGAGCUCGAGUUCUGGAGGGGAAAGCGGAAUUCCUGGUGUAGCGGUGAAAUGCGUAGAUAUCAGGAGGAACACCGGUGGCGAAGGCGGCUUUCUGGACAGAAACUGACGCUGAUGCGCGAAAGCUAGGGGAGCAAACAGG